UAGGGAAUCUUCGGCAAUGGACGAAAGUCUGACCGAGCAACGCCGCGUGAGUGAAGAAGGUUUUCGGAUCGUAAAACUCUGUUGUUAGAGAAGAACAAGGGUGAGAGUAACUGUUCACCCCUUGACGGUAUCUAACCAGAAAGCCACGGCUAACUGCGUGCCAG
rnacentral:rRNA from 1 species